rnacentral:lncRNA from 1 species
GGCCCACCAUAACCACCUCCCUGAUUUCGAGGACCACCAGAACCAUACCCACCAGGAGGUCCACCACGACCACCAGUCCUCACAUCACUCAAACCCUCACCAGCAUAACCACCCACAGGGCCACCAUAAGAUGGAGGGUAUGAUGUAGGUCCACCAGUAUAGCUCGUAGGUGGAGGGACUGAGUCCAUUCCAUAAUUUGCAUUCCCACCAUAUGCAUUAGGAGCAGGUGGAUAAUUCCCACCAUAAGAAUUGGGCGCUGGAGGAGGAACUUGACUGUACCCACUAUCUUCUCCCCCUUGACUACUUCCAUAAGAACC